rnacentral:rRNA from 1 species
CCUACGGGGGGCAGCAGUGGGGGAUAUUGCACAAUGGGGGGAACCCUGAUGCAGCGACGCCGCGUGGGUGAAGAAGCGCCUAGGCGCGUAAAGCCCUGUCAGCAGGGAAGAAAAUGACGGUACCUGAAGAAGAAGCCCCGGCUAACUACGUGCCAGCAGCCGCGGUAAUACGUAGGGGGCAAGCGUUAUCCGGAUUUACUGGGUGGAAAGGGGGCGCAGACGGCGAUGCAAGCCAGGAGUGAAAGCCCGGGGCCCAACCCCGGGACUGCUCUUGGAACUGCGUGGCUGGAGUGCAGGAGGGGCAGGCGGAAUGCCUGGUGUAGCGGUGAAAUGCGUAGAUAUCAGGAGGAACACCGGUGGCGAAGGCGGCCUGCUGGACUGCAACUGACGUUGAGGCCCGAAAGCGUGGGGAGCAAACAGGAUUAGAUACCCCAGUAGUG